AUAGUCGACAGCUUUUUAUAUAUUGGAAGAUAGUUGAUUCCUGAUGUCAAAAAAAAAAAAAAAAAGAUAGUUGAUUCCUAAUAUUUUGACAUUAAAGGGUGAUGUUCCUAAAUAUGCAUACAACUUAGAACUAGUUUUUCUUUAGUUACGGUUAUGGAAUUUGAUUUAUUUAAAAUAGAUCAAUUAUAAGAGCAACUCUAGUAAAACACAAAAAUUAUUUUUAUAUUUCAUUCCAAAAUAGAAUAAUUCUAUUAUAGAAUUGG
rnacentral:lncRNA from 1 species